CAGAGAUUCCACUGAAAAUAAAAAUUGGAAACCUGAUCUCUAAGACAGUCUGAGUACAUAUCCCUGCAUCCUGUGGAAACAAAUAUUCAAAUUGAAAACAUUUCCUGAACAAAAUGCUUUUUUGGCUUCUGCAACCUGGGACACCUUGGAGGGAUCUAGAGGAAAAGUGUCCAUGUUUGAGGAGAAAAAAGGAUCUUCUACGAAAACAAAGCACAUCAGAACUCAACUUAAAAAUGAAAAUGAACCAACACACGCAAAACUCUGCAGAUAAUAAAAUGACCAGUUAUGACCAAACGUUGGGAUCUUGGAGAAGGAUGAAUAUGCAAAGCACAGAAGAACUUUAGAUUCUGCUUGUUCAAUGCUCACAACCAGAAAGAGAGGCUAUCCAUGCAGCAUCCGCAAGGAUAUGCUGCCUGAAAAUCAAUGUACUUCUUGAAGAAGAAUGAAGGAUUUACAGAUGGCCAAUACCAGUUUCCAGAACAUUCUACCUAUGGCCACAAGUUGAAAAUGGUCUGAACGGACAAUUAAAAGCCUAUAUGUAUUUUUAAAAUCUGGAUGUACUUGGGAAUAAAGAAACACACUUUCGGUCAAAA